rnacentral:lncRNA from 1 species
CAAAAUAGAAGAUUAGAAGAACCGGUCAUGGUCUUCUACGAUAUUUAAUUUUUGGGUCAGUCUUAAGUCUACAAUUUUGCUGCGGAAGACUUGGUAAACGAAAGCGGAGAGAGAUGCCCAGAAGGUUGGUUGCUGCAGCAGCUCUUUUGAGGGGUUUGCUUCUCUUGGCGACAUUAGUUGUCAUUCUGAAUUGAUGUAGCAAUGAUAAAGUCCUAUCACAGCCAAACACCCUCAAAAACAAAAGUGAGAUUGUUGAGGAAAGUGAUGAUUUGGAACAAGUGACCCACCAAGUGUUCUUCGAUAUCGAAAUCGAUGGAAACCCAUUGGUCGCAUAGUCAUGGGUCUCUUUGGAAAAACAGUUCCAAAAACCAUAGAGAACUUUCGAGCACUUUUGCACUGGUAGCCAAGUAACUUAAGCGCCAUUAAUUACUGUGAUCUUGUGAUUACCUGCCUUAUUCCUAAUGUAUUUCCAUGAUUAAAUGGAAGCUAUGGCUUUUCUAUUGCUACUUUUGAGUUUAACGUAGGCUUGGGUUUCAGGGGAGAAGGGAAUUGGAAAGAGUAUGAAACCUCUGCACUACAAAGGGAGUAUAUUU